rnacentral:rRNA from 1 species
AUUGAACGCUGGCGGCAUGCUUUACACAUGCAAGUCGAACGGCAGCGCGGGCUUCGGCCUGGCGGCGAGUGGCGAACGGGUGAGUAAUACAUCGGAACGUGCCCAGUAGUGGGGGAUAGCUCGGCGAAAGCCGGAUUAAUACCGCAUACGACCUGAGGGUGAAAGCGGGGGAUCUUCGGACCUCGCGCUAUUGGAGCGGCCGAUGGCAGAUUAGCUAGUUGGUGGGGUAAAGGCCUACCAAGGCGACGAUCUGUAGCUGGUCUGAGAGGACGACCAGCCACACUGGGACUGAGACACGGCCCAGACUCCUACGGGAGGCAGCAGUGGGGAAUUUUGGACAAUGGGCGAAAGCCUGAUCCAGCAAUGCCGCGUGUGUGAUGAAGGCCUUCGGAUUGUAAAGCACUUUUGGCGGGAACGAAAAGGACUGUGCCAAUACCACGGUUCGAUGACGGUACCCGCAGAAUAAGCACCGGCUAACUACGUG